rnacentral:tRNA from 1 species
UGGCUGAAUGGUUAAAGCGCCCAACUCAUAAUUGGUAAAUUUGCGGGUUCAAUUCCUNN